rnacentral:misc_RNA from 1 species
GUGAUUUCUUCAGACUUGAACUGAAUCAAACAUCAAAAUAAAAGAAAUGAUCAUGAGUUAAUCAAUAAAAGGUCCUACAUACAUAACAUUCAAAGAUGUUAUUAGGUGUUGCAUCUGCACCCAAACAAAAGCUUUUGUGUUGGGAGGGAUGGAAGGGCAGAGGCCUUAGGUAAUCCCCUCCAAUCAAGAACUGGGGCCACCCAAUCGCUAGCCAGUAUGCUUUUCUCUCGUGCCUUUCUUCGUUCAUGGUUUGAUAUUUCAUCGUUAGCAUUAGACCUUGCAUUCAGUCCCACCCGAAUAAGAUAAGUAAAAUAGCACGCCUUCUCUCUCAUGGAUUUCCUUUCCUUCCACUUCCCAGGAACCAAAUGAAGCACAAAAUCAAAAAAAAGUUGUGAGCCGAAUUCCUCAUUCUUUUUAGCAUAUACCUUUAAACUUUGAAAAGGUUCUCUCAUUCAUUUAUCUACUCUUUUUCUUUUCACUAACUCUAUUAUUCUAUAUAUAG